GAUGAACGCUAGCGGCAGGCUUAACACAUGCAAGUCGAGGGGCAGCACGAUGUAGCAAUACAUUGGUGGCGACCGGCGCACGGGUGCGUAACACGUAUGGAAUCUGCCCUGUACUGGAGGAUAGCCCGGAGAAAUCCGGAUUAAUACUCCAUAAUCGUCGAGGUGGCAUCACCUUGACCUGGAAGCUCCGGCGGUACAGGAUGACCAUGCGCCCGAUUAGCUAGUUGGUGAGGUAACGGCUCACCAAGGCUACGAUCGGUAGGGGCC
rnacentral:rRNA from 1 species